CCGCACACCGCCGUCAUCGGGGCCUUUGAGUCGCAGCACGGAGACGGCGGGGAUGGAGGCCCGGAGGUCCCGGUGCUGCUGCUGGAGGGAGCGCUGAGCGCCCGCAGCCAUCGGCACCGACACCGACACCGACACCUCCACCACGGCCCGGCCCGCAUCGGCUGCGGGGUCUGCGGUGACGGCUGCGAUGGGCACUGGGUUGGGGUCCAGGAUGGGGUCCCAGAUGGGGUCCACGAUGGGGUCCGGGAUGUCUUCCAGGUUGGGGUCCAGGAUGGGGUCUGGGAUGGGUUCCCGGUUGGGGUCCAGGAUGGGGUCCGGGAUGGCCCAUGAAUUGGGAUCCAGAUUGGGUCGUGAGUUGGGGUUCAGGUUGGGGUCCAGGUUGGGUCGUGAGUUGGGGUCCAGGUUGGGUUCUGGGAUGCGCCAUGAAUUGGGGUCCAAGUUGGGGUCCAGGAUGGGUUCCACAUUGGGGUCCGGGAUGGACCAUGAAUUGGGGUCCAGGUUGGGGUCCGGGUUGGGUCGUGAGUUGGGGUCCAGGUUGGGGUCCAGGUUGGGUUCUGGGAUGGGUUCCAUGAUGGACCUUGAAUUGGGAUCCACGUUGGGUUCCAGGUUGGGUUCUGGGAUAGGCCAUGAUUUGGGAUCUCCAUUGGGUUCCAUGUUGGGCCAUGAAUUGGGAUCGGUGUUGGGAUCCACAUCGGGUUCCGGGUUGGGCCGUGAUUUGGGAUCCACAUCGGGUUCCACAUCGGGUUCCAGGAUGGGCCACCAAUUGGGAUCUCCAUGGGGUUCCAGGUUGGGUUCUUCAUUGAGCCACGCAUUGGGAUCCACGUUGGGAUCCACACUCCAUUCUCCAUAGGGCCACACAUCGGGAUCUGUGUUGGGAUCAAUGUUGGGUUCCACAUCAGCGUUGGGCAGCGCUUUGAGAUUCAUCUAUUGGGAUCCGUAUUGGGAUCCAUGCUAAGAAAUGCCCCAGGAUCCAUAUUGGGAUCCGUAUUGGGAUCUGUAUGGGAUCCAUGCCGGGAAAUGCCCCCGGGAUCUGUAUUGGGAUCUGUAUGGGAUCCAUGCUGGGAAAUGCCCCGGGAUCUGUAUUGGGAUCAGUAUGGGAUCCAUGCUAAGAAAUGCCCCGGGAUCCAUAUUGGGAUCCGUAUUGGGAUCUAUAUGGGAUCCAUGCUGGGAAAUGCCCCGG
ensembl:lncRNA